GGCGUGCUGACCUAUCCCACUAUCGGACAGCGUACGUUUACAAAGGGGAGAAGGAACGAAACGAAUCAUCGACGCGAUGAUUUCUCAUCGGCUAAAUUCAAACAACAUCGGAUCCAGCGCGUCUUUAAGGCGCUCAGUCGAUCCAUCGGCAAUUUUUCACGCGAUUCCAAUCCACGAGGGAAGCGCGUCUGGCUGACGACGCGGAGGCGGCCCAUGCGAGCCGGCCCGCACAAAGGCGCAUCCUCGCGAGGAAAUUUAUCGCGACGGGACGACGUUUCCCGUGAAAAGCGUCGAAGAAAGAAGAUAGAAAGGAGGCGAGGAGCGCGGAGAACGCAGCAAUCUGGUGAAUAGGCGCGCCUUCCAGAAGCGUCGCGAAUCAAUUCCCGGAUUGACUCUGCACCAGGUUGCCGCGCCGAUUUUUCAGCUUUCUCCAGGCGGAAAACUCGCACGUCUCGUAUCCAUGGCAUAUUUGCCUGGUUACUGAAUGGAAAAUGGAUCGACAAGAAUGCAAUAUCGGAACUCGCGAACAAUCGUUCGAUGUCAGGUCAAUGUGGACAUUCCUGACCGAAAUACAGAAACAAAAAAUCAACGAAUCGAAUGAAGCGUCGUAGGAGAAGCGUGCGAUUCUUCGUGUCUGACCAUGACCUGGAAAAAUCUACUUGCUUCAGUUCCG
rnacentral:misc_RNA from 1 species